rnacentral:rRNA from 1 species
UACGGGGGGAGCAAGCGUUGUUCGGAUUUACUGGGCGUAAAGGGCUCGUAGGCGGCCAACUAAGUCGGAUGUGAAAUCCCCAGGCUUAACCUGGGAACUGCAUCCGAUACUGGAUGGCUUGAAUCCGGGAGAGGGAUGCGGAAUUCCAGGUGUAGCGGUGAAAUGCGUAGAUAUCUGGAGGAACACCGGUGGCGAAGGCGGCAUCCUGGACCGGCAUUGACGCUGAGGAGCGAAAGCCAGGGGAGCAAACGGG